AUUGAACGCUGGCGGCAGGCCUAACACAUGCAAGUCGAGCGGAUGAAGGGAGCUUGCUCCUGGAUUCAGCGGCGGACGGGUGAGUAAUGCCUAGGAAUCUGCCUGGUAGUGGGGGAUAACGUCCGGAAACGGGCGCUAAUACCGCAUACGUCCUGAGGGAGAAAGUGGGGGAUCUUCGGACCUCACGCUAUCAGAUGAGCCUAGGUCGGAUUAGCUAGUUGGUGGGGUAAAGGCCUACCAAGGCGACGAUCCGUAACUGGUCUGAGAGGAUGAUCAGUCACACUGGAACUGAGACACGGUCCAGACUCCUACGGGAGGAAGCAGUGGGGAAUAUUGGACAAGGGGCGAAAGCCUGAUCCAGCCAUGCCGCGUGUGUGAAGAAGGUCUUCGGAUUGUAAAGCACUUUAAGUUGGGAGGAAGGGCAGUAAGUUAAUACCUUGCUGUAUUGACGUUACUAACAGAAUAAGCACCGGCUAACUUCGUG
rnacentral:rRNA from 1 species